CAGUAACACGUCGAUAAUCUAACUUAUGGUCUGGGAUAACCUUGGGAAACUGAGGCUAAAACCGGGUAGGGGAUUGAUACUGGAAUGUACUUUCCCUGAAAGGCAACGCCAUAAGAUGAGUCGGCGGCUGAUUAGGCAGUUGGUGAGGUAAUGGCUCACCAAACCUUAGAUCAGUAGGGGGGAUGAGAGUCCCCGCCCCGAGAAUGGCACUGAGAUAAGGGCCAUAGUCCUAAGGGAUGCAGCAGGCUAGGAUUCUUUACAAUGCGCGCAAGCGUGAUAAGGGAAACCCAAGUGCUCGCUUUACGCGGGCUUUUGCCAAGUGCAAAAAGCUUGGCGAAUAAGUGGUGGGCAAGACUGGUGCCAGCCGCCGCGGUAACACCAGCGUCCACUAGUGGUUAUCAUAUUUAUUGGGUCUAAAGCGUCUGUAGCCGACUAGGUAAGUCCUUUGUGAAACUGUAGGGCUCAACUCUACAACGUGCAAAGGAAACUACCAAGUUAGGGACCGGGAGAGGUUUGGAGAAUUCCUUGGGAAGCGGUAAAAUGUUUUAAUCCUUGGAAGACUACCAAUGGCGAAGGCACCAAACCAGAACGGAUCCGACGGUGAGAGACGAAAGCUGGGGGAGCGAUCAGGAUUAGAUACCCUAGUAGUCCCAGCUGUAAACACUGCCAACUAUGUGUUGCACGCUCCUCGUGAACGUGCAGUGCCGGAGCGAAGGCGUUAAGUUGGCCACCUGGGAAGUACGGCCGCAAG
rnacentral:rRNA from 1 species